AUGGAGCCGACCUUGAAAUACCACCCUUUAAUGUUUGAUGUUCUAACGUUGACCCGUAAUCCGGGUUGCGGACAGUGUCUGGUGGGUAGUUUGACUGGGGCGGUCUCCUCCUAAAGAGUAACGGAGGAGCACGAAGGUUGGCUAAUCCUGGUCGGACAUCAGGAGGUUAGUGCAAUGGCAUAAGCCAGCUUGACUGCGAGCGUGACGGCGCGAGCAGGUGCGAAAGCAGGUCAUAGUGAUCCGGUGGUUCUGAAUGGAAGGGCCAUCGCUCAACGGAUAAAAGGUACUCCGGGGAUAACAGGCUGAUACCGCCCAAGAGUUCAUAUCGACGGCGGUGUUUGGCACCUCGAUGUCGGCUCAUCACAUCCUGGGGCUGAAGUAGGUCCCAAGGGUAUGGCUGUUCGCCAUUUAAAGUGGUACGCGAGCUGGGUUUAGAACGUCGUGAGACAGUUCGGUCCCUAUCUGCCGUGGGCGCUGGAGAACUGAGGGGGGCUGCUCCUAGUACGAGAGGACCGGAGUGGACGCAUCACUGGUGUUCGGGUUGUCAUGCCAAUGGCACUGCCCGGUAGCUAAAUG
rnacentral:rRNA from 1 species